rnacentral:rRNA from 1 species
UACGAGGGGUGCAAGCGUUGCUCGGAAUUAUUGGGCGUAAAGGGUGGGUAGGUGGUCUCUUUUGUCUGGGGUGAAAGCCUUGAGCUUAACUCAAGAAGUGCCCUAGAAACGGUGAGACUAGAGUUCUGGAGAGGGUCGUGGAAUUCCCGGUGUAGCGGUGAAAUGCGUAGAGAUCGGGAGGAACACCAGCGGCGAAGGCGGCGACCUGGACAGAUACUGACACUCAACUACGAAAGCGUGGGGAGCAAACAGG